AGGCUUAACACGUGCAAGUCGAGCGGAGUUGUGGUGCUUGCACCAUAACUUAGCGGCGGACGGGUGAGUAACACGUGGGAACGUACCCUUAGGUUCGGAACAACACAGGGAAACUUGUGCUAAUACCGGAUGAGCCCUUCGGGGGACAGAUUUAUCGCCUUUGGAGCGGCCCGCGUCUGAUUAGCUUGUUGGUGAGGUAAUGGCUCACCAAUGCUACGAUCAGUAGCUGGUCUGAGAGGAUGGCCAGCCACACUGGGACUGAGACACGGCCCAGACUCCUACGGGAGGCAGCAGUGGGGAAUCUUGCGCCAUGGGCGAAAGCCUGACGCAGCCAUGCCGCGUGGAUGAUGAAGGUCUUAGGAUUGUAAAAUCCUUUCACCGGGGACGAUAAUGACGGUACCCGGAGAAGAAGCCCCGGCUAACUUCGUGCCAGCAGCCGCGGUAAUAC
rnacentral:rRNA from 1 species